GCUUCUGUGGUGAAGCGGUUAUCACAUUCGCCUAACACGCGGUAGGUCCCAGGAUCGAGCACUGGCAGAAACA
rnacentral:tRNA from 1 species